AGGAUAAUAGUUAAAAUAACAUUUAAUUUGCAUUUAAAAAAUAUUGGAUUUCAAUUUAUCUUA
rnacentral:tRNA from 1 species